CUCUAACACUGCAUGUGCUAAGCCUAUGUUGGAGUGCAACCCUUCCUUCAAUUAUCACCGUCUUUCCACUGUGUGUUUUACCUGCACAAUGUAAACAUCGGUCUCAGACGUCCAUCACAGGAUACCACAAUGGGGCAGCAGGACACAGCUCUUCACCAGCUAUAGAACAGCCCAAGACUCACUAAAACAACACCUGACAUCUUUCCAAUAAACCGUGAAGAUCUGGGUUAGAACUGAUCUUCAGUCACCUAUGCUUGUGGCUUUCCUUGAUGGAUGCAGUCUAUCGACAACAGCUGAAUGACCCCAGUUGUUUACUGACUUGUCUUCACCAUGAACACAUCAACAAAUCUUCUCCAUAUUGCUGGAAAAACAUUGGCACAAAAACAGCAGAAGCAUAAUGGACCAUAGGAUAUCACUGAUCUGACUCUAGAUGAGAACAUGCUGACACCAUGGACUACAAUUACAUGCUGACCUCAAGCAUUUGAGGCAAAAUCCCAUUUUCACAUCAUCCAAUGUUGCAAAAGUGUACAUCAAAGGACUUGUGAGUAUCCAACAUGUCUGACAUUCUAACAAGAACAUAUAUGCUCAACUCCUGAAAUAUGCAGGACUGCUCAUGUACAUGAAGUAAAUUAUGGUAUGAACAAAUCUCAACUGAAUUUUCCACAUUAAUCAUUGCUUGUGUCAACAAAAUUAUGUAACAGCCAUUAUUGUAAGACAUUCAAAUAUUGACCAUAAACAGACUUCCUAAUCUUCAAGUAUAUUAAGUCAGUCAUACCACUGUGAACGCAAACAUUUUGCUACUCGAUUGAACAUUUCACAAGCACUUUAGUUAUAAGGUAGAGAUUAUGCUGUACACUGAACUGGUAACACAACCAUUCCAGGAUAUCCUACUUCUUCAAUGCAGUGUUUGCACACAUCUCCAUGCUGUGAUAAUUUGGUUGUAUUAUCAACACAUGGAUGGGCAAAAAGAUUUAAGUACUGAAAACAUUCCAUAAUAUUUAGUAUAUUAUGGUAACAUCAUGCUAAUAUCUGUCCUACUUACUGAAUAUUGUUAGUUCAUCUGAACAAGGUAAGUUUUAGGUUUUGUUUCAUUUGAAAGUGAAUAAAGUUCUCAAGGUAAGAAAUGUGUUUGUUUUGGUUCUUAGUUUGUCAGAUGUGGACAUGAUGUUGUUGAUGAAACAAACA